rnacentral:rRNA from 1 species
AUACGUAGGGGACGAGCGUUGUCCGGAAUUACUGGGCGUAAAGGGCGCGCAGGCGGAUAUUUAAGUCAGCUGUAAAAGGCAUGAGCUCAACUCAUGUAUGCGGUUGAAACUGGGUAUCUAGAGUGCUGGAGAGGUAGGCGGAAUUUCCGGUGUAGCGGGGAAAUGCGUAGAUAUCGGGAAGAACACCAGUGGCGAAGGCGGCUUACUGGCCAGCAACUGACGCUGAGGCGCGAAAGCCAGGGGAGCGAACGGGAUUAGAUACCCCGGUAGUCCUGGCCGUAAACGAUGAAUGCUAGGUGUGGGUGUCGAGAGGCAUCCGUGCCGGAGUUAACGCGAUAAGCAUUCCGCCUGGGGAGUACGAUCGCAAGAUUGAAACUCAAAGGAAUUGGCGGGG